rnacentral:lncRNA from 1 species
ACAGUACACAAUGGCCCCAGAGGAAGGCCCGCUCGCAGCACGUCAGAAAGGAAUUGGACUCGGAGAGAAAUGAGGGGCCUGGACUCUCCCGGGAACGAAAGUGGAAACGGGAAAGGAAAUGGACGAAGGGAUGCAAGGCACGAAGGAGCUAACCAAUAAGGGGUGGCAGGUGGGCGUGAGCGUCGGGACCGGGAGCCAAAGCCAUCUGGGGCUGAAAGGCGGGACUUCCUGCUUCGCUUACCUUCCUAGUCUUUUGUUUCAUAGCAACA